AUAUCAGUAAGCGGAGGAAAAGAAACUAACAAGGAUUCCCUGAGUAACGGCGAGUGAAACGGGAAGAGCUCAAAUUUAAAAAUCUGGCACCCUUGGGUGUCCGAGUUGUAAUUGAGAGAGUCGUCUUUUGACAAGAGUGAUGGCCAAAGUUCUCUGGAAAGGGACAACAAAGAGGGUGACAUUCCCGUCUGGGUCAUUGCUUGCGUCAGUAUAAAGGCGGCUCAAAGAGUCGGAUUGUUUGGGAAUGCAGUCCAAAAUGGGUGGUACAUUUCAUCUAAAGCUAAAUAUAGGCAAGAGACCGAUAGCGCACAAGUA
rnacentral:rRNA from 1 species